CAGAGAGUAGUUAAACUUAGAAUCCUAGCUUUGGGAGUUAGGGGUGGGAGUUAAAAUCUCCCCUCUUUG
rnacentral:tRNA from 1 species